rnacentral:rRNA from 1 species
CCCUUGAUUUUAGUUGCCAGCACUUUGGGUGGGCACUCUAGAAUGACUGCCGGUGACAAACCGGAGGAAGGCGGGGAUGACGUCAAAUCAUCAUGCCCCUUAUGACUUGGGCUACACACGUACUACAAUGGCUGGUACAACGGGAAGCGAAGCCGCGAGGUGGAGCCAAUCCUAUAAAAGCCAGUCUCAGUUCGGAUUGCAGGCUGCAACUCGCCUGCAUGAAGUCGGAAUUGCUAGUAAUCGCGGAUCAGCAUGCCGCGGUGAAUACGUUCCCGGGUCUUGUACACACCGCCCGUCACACCACGAGAGUUUACAACACCCGAAGUCGGUGGGGUAACCCUUAGGGGAGCCAGCCGCCGAAGGUGGGGUAGAUGAUUGGGGUGAAGUCGUAACAAGGUAGCCGUA